AUCUUGCCAUUCUUUGUGCAUCGUGAAAUCUCCGAAUUAUAGCUUCUUCUUCUGUUUCGUGAGGUUUUGUUAAUAGUCUGUGUCUAUUCUUUUUCUUUUCUUUUAUUGAAUUACCCUGUUUAUUUAAUUGCAAAGUAGCUUUUUUUCUACUCCACUUGUAAUUGUUCAUUUCGUUCAAUUUACAUACAAUGCCGUCUUCCAAUAACAAUAUAUAUUUAUAAUAAUAAUGGCAUACAGUUUAGAAAAAAAAUCACCCAUAAAAUUAUUUGAAUUUACCUCUCUUUUUCUUAUUGAUGUACGCGCAAGCGUGGAUAAUUCAGAAACCAAUCAUUGAAAUGGCGAAUCGUCGUGGAUACCGUCGUUAAAUAUUCGAAUUACGUGCAUUUCGACUAUAAAUUAUAAUUAAUUCCGUAUUAACAAUUGCGUUAAUGCAUCCUAAUGCCUUUCAUUCGUUUAUCGCUCUCAAAUAUUUGCAAUUAUUAUGAACACUUAUGAGGAGGAAGAUAUCGUCAUAGUUGCACGUUGUACAUAGGUCUUGAAUACUCGAUCACAUGAAUUAUAAUCUGUAGCGGUGAUUAUAACAGGAUAUUAAUUCCAAUGUAUAUUUCAACAUAUGAAUAUUAUUUUCUUUUAUCGUUGAUCAUUAUCCCAGUGUAUCUGUUUUUUAAAUUAUGGUCAUGGCUAGGUUGGCAAUUAUUUAUAAAUAAUUAAUAUUAUGUGCAUUGUA